rnacentral:rRNA from 1 species
UACGAAGGGUGCAAGCGUUAAUCGGAAUUAUUGGGCGUAAAGCGUGCGUAGGUGGCUUGAUAAGUCUACUGUGAAAUCCCUGGGCUUAACCUAGGAAUGGCAGUAGAUACUGUUGAGCUAGAGUCGGAUAGAGGGUAAUGGAAUUCUUGGUGUAGCGGUGAAAUGCGUAGAGAUCAAGAGGAACAUCAGUGGCGAAGGCGAUUACCUGGAUCCAGACUGACACUGAGGCACGAAAGCGUGGGUAGCAAACAGG